GACGAACGCUGGCGGCGUGCCUAAUACAUGCAAGUAGAACGCUGAAGAGAGGAGCUUGCUCUUCUUGGAUGAGUUGCGAACGGGUGAGUAACGCGUAGGUAACCUGCCUUGUAGCGUGGGAUAACUAUUGGAAACGAUAGCUAAUACCGCAUAACAAUAGGUGACACAUGUCAUUUAUUUGAAAGGGGCAAUUGCUCCACUACAAGAUGGACCUGCGUUGUAUUAGCUAGUAGGUGAGGUAACGGCUCACCUAGGCGACGAUACAUAGCCGACCUGAGAGGGUGAUCGGCCACACUGGGACGGGGACACGGCCCAGACUCCUACGGGAGGCAGCAGUAGGGAAUCUUCGGCAAUGGGGGCAACCCUGACCGAGCAACGCCGCGUGAGUGAAGAAGGGUUUCGGAUCGUAAAGCUCUGUUGUAAGUCAAGAACGAGUGUGAGAGUGGAAAGUUCACACUGUGACGGUAGCUUACCAGAAAGGGACGGCUAACUACGUG
rnacentral:rRNA from 1 species